CUCAUUUUUCCCUUCUCUGCCUCGCCGAAACCUGUGUGCCGACUCCUCCUCUGCGCGCACCCGACUCCUCCUCUGCGCUCACCCGAGCCGUCGGUUUGCCCUAACCGCCGGUCCCGACGGUUUCUUCCUCGCCGGCGCUUGAUCAAGAGCCGAACCCCUCUCCUCUCUGCGCCUUCUCCACUCGACAGCACCGCCGGGUGCUCUUCCUCCUCGCUGAGCGACGCGCCGCCGCCACCCCAGCCGACAGCCGGCUGCCUUUCUAGUGCCGACGCCACUGCCCUCUCUGGACGGAGCAGCGCUAGCCGAGCCCUGCCGACGCUGUGCCCUAGCCACUUAACGCCAUCAGUCACUCUGCCCUCACCCACUCACCGGAGCGUCGCGCCGCCUUGAUUUGCCGAUCGCCGCUCGCCUUGGCACUGCAACUCCUUUUGCAUGAGGCUAGGUCAUCACUGUCGAUUCCCUUAUCUGCCGGUGCCGAGAGCUGCUCGUGAGCCACCCGAACUUCCUUACUUGUGUCGUGCCUUAGACCUCUACUGUCGCACCAUCGCCAUCUCUCGGACGUCGCCGUUGUGUUGCUGUAGCUAUCAGCCUUUCGGCAAAGCCACGCCCAGCCGAUCAGUCCAGCACCUCCUCAUUAUCAGAUCUUGGACCAGGGAGAUCCCACGCUUUCUCCUCCCACAAGAGCAUCUGCCCUAGUUUGGGACAGCACCACGUUGCCCUAUAUCGCCGGUGUCACCCUACCUUCUGCUUUGCUCAUGAUUUCAGCAGCAGUUUCUUCAGCCGGGUGUCUACAAAGGUGUCACUGGAAUUGGGUAUUUCAGGCAGCAGUUUCUCCUAGCUCCAGCCAUUGUUUACCAAAGGUAGGUUUUCUUUGGUUGUGAGCCUACAAAGGAACAUCUAAAUAUGGGACUUUAAUUCAAGACGGUGUCUCGACGAGGGAUCUAUUUCGGAUUGGACCUUUCUAUUGG